AUGUUUAAUUGCAUAGGAAAUUGGAAUGAUCCGAGAUCCGAGAUCCGAGAUCCGAGAUCCGAGAUCCGAGAUCCGAGAUCAUAACAUCAUAACUUUAAUCACAGUGUCUUUAUUAGAACAAUCUCUGUUGAAACCUACACAUUAGUGUUCUCUAACUAAGGACUUUCUCGACCGACUGGUAUCCUAGGAGAGGGAGGCUGGUACCAGGCACGUCUUCAUGGAAGAUUUUUGGGGUACUAUUCAGCACAAAAAUUUGCAGUUAUAUUCUGUGUGCACGAUUCAUCCUGUAGUUUAGACUGAAGCUGCUUAGUGCUGUUGCAGGCACCGAAAUAAACAACAGCAAAUCAACAUGCCUGUAUUUCUGAUUUGCAUAUAAUGAUAAGAAUAAAAAAACAAUGGUUUCCUAUGUGAGACGAUUUCUGCAAAUGUCUGCAGAAUUGUGAAUUCUGACACCGACAUCACCCUAUUCGACCGACCAUUGCGUAUCGCAGUCGGCAGUGGGGUCAAGCAGGGCGACCCGAUAUCGCCCAAGCUGUUCACCGCCUGCCUGGAGCACGUAUUCCGCCAGCUCAACUGGGACAACACCGGAAUUUACCAGAAUGGAAGAGACUGGAUUAAAAACGUUCACAGCAGGAUCUUCUACCAAGCAGUACUUCAGUUUAAGUUACAGAGACAUUUCUACACGUUCUUACAAAAGCUGCUUAUCGCUUUAGAAUCUAUUCCACUUGCUUCUUUAAAUUACUGUUCUAACACCGAUAAACCAGAUGUCCAUCACUUACUCACCAAUCCUCCAGAUCAACGAACCAUCUCAAUGGAUCCAAUAGAAAAUCUAUUCUGGGUACAAAUUUCACCGCUGGACAUCUAAAGAUCUGCUUCAAACUGUCACCACCGAAGCCAGUUUCUUGAUCUAUUACGGACCACUGCAUCGGAGACUUUAAACUUCAAUCUCAGGUCACGUAUUCCAUACAUUCAAAGCACGUAAAAUAUCGUAUUAAUCAUACUAAUUGCCCUUUCUGCAACUAAUUGCCCUUUCUAGUUGCCUGUCGAGGCAUCCUGCAGUUCGUGUGGACCCCAAACAUCGGUCUCGGCUGACUAUCGAGGCGUCCUGCUGCAGUUCAUAUGGAUCUUGGGCUUCAGUCUCUGGUCACGUAUCUGGGUCCUGGUUCUGUAAGACUCCAAGAUCUCCAAAAAGGCGACUCUUCUUCCUCGAACUACUCAUGCCAUUCCUUCAGGAUUGGAGGUGCAACCACAGAUGCUCAGCGAAACAUUCCUGCGCAUCUCAUAAAAAAAUAAAAGCUUAGUCGGUGGUCUUCAGAUGCUUAUAACAUCUUGCUCAUCUUACAUUUGCAUUUUACAGCAUUCCGUCAAAAUCGGGCCUUAGUCUUUUUAAACUAUUUUAUGCAAGGUUGUCUUUAAUUUGAGCAAUUUUUUUUACUUCAGUAUUUGUUUAUGUUAUACUGUGCACUAGAUGUACUAAAAUUCAGUAUGUCGGCUCUAGCUCUUUACCUAAGAACUAAUGAGCAAAGGUUGUGACCCUUUAAAUCCCACUAGGUUGCACUGAUGCAAAUUAAAAUGGGUCCAAUCUGGGUUGCCAAUUGCUAACCACCUCACAUAAGUGAGUGUUAUUUUGUGGAUUGAGCCGAAGUAUUUGCUCAAUGCAACAGAACUAAGUUUAGUACUAAUACUUUAUUAAACUUAGAUUAACAGUUACCAUUACAGAAAAGGUAAGAGAUAUGCAUGUCCUAAUAUGACCUUAAGUUAACGAAAAUAUAGACACAUUAUGUUAGCAUAGCAACACAGACAAGCUUGUUAAGAAAUUUUUAAAAAAAGUACCAAUUCCUGUGUAUGUUGGGACAGUUGGUCAGAAAGCUGUAAAUCAUUUGUUUUUCAUUACAAAUUGAAGUGCACCAUAGGGUUUUAAAAUGUUUGUUUUUAAGAAGUAUGGAGUAAACAUGCUGUAUUUUACUUUAAUGUGUGUUUCAUACUGCAAUUUCAGCCUGUAUAGCAUGAGCAGUAUCUGUCUUUAGGAAAAAAUGUUUUAGUCUGACUUGCAACUCUUCCCAGUGUAAAUAGUUCUUAUCAGGAAUAAAGUACUUUGACAGCCUUAUGCAGAUUCAUUGGAGUCCAAGAGGCUAUUUAACCAAUGUGUCACUUGUGACAUGCUGCAGACCCUGAGACACACAGAAUCUGAGCAGAUAAACUUUAAUUGGAUGAUUCCAACAACAACACACCUAUGCAACACACCUUCUUGAGGCCCUGUGGAUCAGCGCCAGCCUUUAGGCCUGCAUUUGCUUCAUUUUGACUUUCCUUAGGAUAAAGCAAGACCAGGAUAAGAACCUAACAACAGCAGCUACUGUAUAUGCGGCAACCAAAAGACUUCUCUUCAACAACCGCAGAACUCUGCCAAAAUUUAGGAACAGUAAGAACAGUUGAAAUAGUAUUCUGUUAAUGCCACUAUACUGGGCUUGAUCCUCAAAAGACAUUGUUAUCUUAAGACAUGUCAAAACUGUGUUAUAUUGAACAUAACUGGAUUUUAGAUGUAAAUAUCUAUGCAUGUUAAACCAUUGAAUAUUAGUAUGAGUUCAUUUUAGAUCCUCGUUAAUAAACUAAUUACUACUUUAAA